rnacentral:rRNA from 1 species
ACGGAGGGUGCAAGCGUUAUCCGGAUUCACUGGGUUUAAAGGGUGCGUAGGUGGGUUGGUAAGUCAGUGGUGAAAUCUCCGGGCUUAACUCGGAAACUGCCGUUGAUACUAUCAAUCUUGAAUCUCGUGGAGGUAAGCGGAAUAUGUCAUGUAGCGGUGAAAUGCUUAGAUAUGACAUAGAACACCGAUAGCGAAGGCAGCUUGCUACACGAGUAUUGACACUGAGGCACGAAAGCGUGGGGAUCAAACAGGA